AGAUUGAACGCUGGCGGCAGGCCUAACACAUGCAAGUCGAGCGGUAGAGAGGUGCUUGCACCUCUUGAGAGCGGCGGACGGGUGAGUAAUGCCUAGGAAUCUGCCUAGUGGUGGGGGAUAACGUUCGGAAACGGACGCUAAUACCGCAUACGUCCUACGGGAGGAAGCGGGGGACCUUCGGGCCUCGCGCCAUUAGAUGAGCCUAGGUCGGAUUAGCUAGUUGGUGAGGUAAUGGCUCACCAAGGCGACGAUCCGUAACUGGUCUGAGAGGAUGAUCAGUCACACUGGAACUGAGACACGGUCCAGACUCCUACGGGAGGCAGCAGUGGGGAAUAUUGGACAAUGGGCGAAAGCCUGAUCCAGCCAUGCCGCGUGUGUGAAGAAGGUCUUCGGAUUGUAAAGCACUUUAAGUGGAGGAAGGUUGUAACUUAAUACGUUGCAACUUUGACGUUACCGACAGAAUAAGCAACCGGCUAACUUCGUGCCAGCAGCCG
rnacentral:rRNA from 1 species